AGCUCCAAUAGCGUAUAUUAAAGUUGUUGCAGUUAAAAAGCUCGUAGUUGGAUUUGGGACGGGGGUCGCGCGGUCGGCCGCAAGGUCUGCUACUGUGCGGCCUCGUCAUUUACACUCUCGGAGACCCGUCGUGCACUUCGCUGUGCGCGGCGCGGGACUCGGGACGUUUACUUUGAAAAAAUUAGAGUGUUCAAAGCAGGCUUCAUCAAGCCCGGAUACAUGAGCAUGGAAUAAUGGAAUAGGACCGCGGUUCUAUUUUGUUGGUUUCUAUGACCGUAGUAAUGAUUAAGAGGGACAAUUGGGGGCGUCCGUAUUUCGUUGUCAGAGGUGAAAUUCUUGGAUUUACGAAAGACGAACAACUGCGAAAGCAUUCGCCAAGAGUGUUUUCAUUAAUCAAGAA
rnacentral:rRNA from 1 species